rnacentral:rRNA from 1 species
GUUAAGCGACUAAGCGUACACGGUGGAUGCCCUGGCAGUCAGAGGCGAUGAAGGACGUGCUAAUCUGCGAAAAGCGCCGGCGAGGUGAUAUGAACCUUUGACCCGGCGAUGUCCGAAUGGGGAAACCCAGUGUGAUUCGUCACACUAUCGUUAACUGAAUACAUAGGUUAACGAGGCGAACCGGGGGAACUGAAACAUCUAAGUACCCCGAGGAAAAGAAAUCAACCGAGAUUCCCCCAGUAGCGGCGAGCGAACGGGGAGCAGCCCAGAGUCUGAAUCAGCGUGUGUGUUAGUGGAAGCGUCUGGAAAGUCGCACGAUACAGGGUGAUAGUCCCGUACACGAAAGCACACAGGCUGUGAACUCGAAGAGUAGGGCGGGACACGUGGUAUCCUGUCUGAAUAUGGGGGGACCAUCCUCCAAGGCUAAAUACUCCUGACUGACCGAUAGUGAACCAGUACCGUGAGGGAAAGGCGAAAAGAACCCCGGCGAGGGGAGUGAAAAAGAACCUGAAACCGUGUACGUACAAGCAGUGGGAGCACCCUUCGGGGUGUGACUGCGUACCUUUUGUAUAAUGGGUCAGCGACUUAUAUUCUGUAGCAAGGUUAACCGAAUAGGGGAGCCGAAGGGAAACCGAGUCUUAACUGGGCGUUAAGUUGCAGGGUAUAGACCCGAAACCCGGUGAUCUAGCCAUGGGCAGGUUGAAGGUUGGGUAACACUAACUGGAGGACCGAACCGACUAAUGUUGAAAAAUUAGCGGAUGACCUGUGGCUGGGGGUGAAAGGCCAAUCAAACCGGGAGAUAGCUGGUUCUCCCCGAAAGCUAUUUAGGUAGCGCCUCGUGAACUCAUCUUCGGGGGUAGAGCACUGUUUCGGCUAGGGGGUCAUCCCGACUUACCAACCCGAUGCAAACUGCGAAUACCGAAGAAUGUUAUCACGGGAGACACACGGCGGGUGCUAACGUCCGUCGUGAAGAGGGAAACAACCCAGACCGCCAGCUAAGGUCCCAAAGUCAUGGUUAAGUGGGAAACGAUGUGGGAAGGCCCAGACAGCCAGGAUGUUGGCUUAGAAGCAGCCAUCAUUUAAAGAAAGCGUAAUAGCUCACUGGUCGAGUCGGCCUGCGCGGAAGAUGUAACGGGGCUAAACCAUGCACCGAAGCUGCGGCAGCGACGCUUAUGCGUUGUUGGGUAGGGGAGCGUUCUGUAAGCCGUUGAAGGUGUGCUGUGAGGCAUGCUGGAGGUAUCAGAAGUGCGAAUGCUGACAUAAGUAACGAUAAAGCGGGUGAAAAGCCCGCUCGCCGGAAGACCAAGGGUUCCUGUCCAACGUUAAUCGGGGCAGGGUGAGUCGACCCCUAAGGCGAGGCCGAAAGGCGUAGUCGAUGGGAAACAGGUUAAUAUUCCUGUACUUGGUGUUACUGCGAAGGGGGGACGGAGAAGGCUAUGUUAGCCGGGCGACGGUUGUCCCGGUUUAAGCAUGUAGGCGGAGGUUCCAGGUAAAUCCGGUACCUUUUAACGCUGAGGUGUGAUGACGAGGCACUACGGUGCUGAAGUAACAAAUGCCCUGCUUCCAGGAAAAGCCUCUAAGCAUCAGGUAACACGAAAUCGUACCCCAAACCGACACAGGUGGUCAGGUAGAGAAUACCAAGGCGCUUGAGAGAACUCGGGUGAAGGAACUAGGCAAAAUGGUGCCGUAACUUCGGGAGAAGGCACGCUGACAUGUAGGUGAAGCCCCUGCGGGUGGAGCUGAAGUCAGUCGAAGAUACCAGCUGGCUGCAACUGUUUAUUAAAAACACAGCACUGUGCAAACACGAAAGUGGACGUAUACGGUGUGACGCCUGCCCGGUGCCGGAAGGUUAAUUGAUGGGGUUAUCCUUAGGGAGAAGCUCUUGAUCGAAGCCCCGGUAAACGGCGGCCGUAACUAUAACGGUCCUAAGGUAGCGAAAUUCCUUGUCGGGUAAGUUCCGACCUGCACGAAUGGCGUAAUGAUGGCCAGGCUGUCUCCACCCGAGACUCAGUGAAAUUGAACUCGCUGUGAAGAUGCAGUGUACCCGCGGCAAGACGGAAAGACCCCGUGAACCUUUACUAUAGCUUGACACUGAACAUUGAGCCUUGAUGUGUAGGAUAGGUGGGAGGCUUUGAAGCGUGGACGCCAGUCUGCGUGGAGCCAACCUUGAAAUACCACCCUUUAAUGUUUGAUGUUCUAACCUGGCGCCGUGAUCCGGCGUGGGGACAGUGUCUGGUGGGUAGUUUGACUGGGGCGGUCUCCUCCUAAAGAGUAACGGAGGAGCACGAAGGUUGGCUAAUCCUGGUCGGACAUCAGGAGGUUAGUGCAAUGGCAUAAGCCAGCUUGACUGCGAGCGUGACGGCGCGAGCAGGUGCGAAAGCAGGUCAUAGUGAUCCGGUGGUUCUGAAUGGAAGGGCCAUCGCUCAACGGAUAAAAGGUACUCCGGGGAUAACAGGCUGAUACCGCCCAAGAGUUCAUAUCGACGGCGGUGUUUGGCACCUCGAUGUCGGCUCAUCACAUCCUGGGGCUGAAGUAGGUCCCAAGGGUAUGGCUGUUCGCCAUUUAAAGUGGUACGCGAGCUGGGUUUAGAACGUCGUGAGACAGUUCGGUCCCUAUCUGCCGUGGGCGCUGGAGAAUUGAGGGGGGCUGCUCCUAGUACGAGAGGACCGGAGUGGACGCAUCACUGGUGUUCGGGUUGUCAUGCCAAUGGCAUUGCCCGGUAGCUACAUGCGGAAGAGAUAAGUGCUGAAAGCAUCUAAGCACGAAACUUGCCCCGAGAUGAGUUCUCCCUGAGACUUAGAGUCUCCUGAAGGAACGUUGAAGACAACGACGUUGAUAGGCCGGGUGUGUAAGCGCAGCGAUGCGUUGAGCUAACCGGUACUAAUGAACCGUGAGGCUUAACC